rnacentral:rRNA from 1 species
AAACCCAGUGUGAUUCGUCACACUAUCAUUAACUGAAUCCAUAGGUUAAUGAGGCGAACCGGGGGAACUGAAACAUCUAAGUACCCCGAGGAAAAGAAAUCAACCGAGAUUCCCCCAGUAGCGGCGAGCGAACGGGGAGGAGCCCAGAGCCUGAAUCAGUGUGUGUGUUAGUGGAAGCGUCUGGAAAGGCGCGCGAUACAGGGUGACAGCCCCGUACACAAAAAUGCACAUGCUGUGAGCUCGAUGAGUAGGGCGGGACACGUGGUAUCCUGUCUGAAUAUGGGGGGACCAUCCUCCAAGGCUAAAUACUCCUGACUGACCGAUAGUGAACCAGUACCGUGAGGGAAAGGCGAAAAGAACCCCGGCGAGGGGAGUGAAAAAGAACCUGAAACCGUGUACGUACAAGCAGUGGGAGCCUCUUUAUGGGGUGACUGCGUACCUUUUGUAUAAUGGGUCAGCGACUUAUAUUCUGUAGCAAGGUUAACCGAAUAGGGGAGCCGAAGGGAAACCGAGUCUUAACUGGGCGUUAAGUUGCAGGGUAUAGACCCGAAACCCGGUGAUCUAGCCAUGGGCAGGUUGAAGGUUGGGUAACACUAACUGGAGGACCGAACCGACUAAUGUUGAAAAAUUAGCGGAUGACUUGUGGCUGGGGGUGAAAGGCCAAUCAAACCGGGAGAUAGCUGGUUCUCCCCGAAAGCUAUUUAGGUAGCGCCUCGUGAAUUCAUCUCCGGGGGUAGAGCACUGUUUCGGCAAGGGGGUCAUCCCGACUUACCAACCCGAUGCAAACUGCGAAUACCGGAGAAUGUUAUCACGGGAGACACACGGCGGGUGCUAACGUCCGUCGUGAAGAGGGAAACAACCCAGACCGCCAGCUAAGGUCCCAAAGUCAUGGUUAAGUGGGAAACGAUGUGGGAAGGCCCAGACAGCCAGGAUGUUGGCUUAGAAGCAGCCAUCAUUUAAAGAAAGCGUAAUAGCUCACUGGUCGAGUCGGCCUGCGCGGAAGAUGUAACGGGGCUAAACCAUG